GACGAACGCUGGCGGCGUGCUUAACACAUGCAAGUCGAACGGAAAGGCCCUGCUUUUGUGGGGUGCUCGAGUGGCGAACGGGUGAGUAACACGUGAGUAUCCUGCCCUUGACUUUGGGAUAACAUCACGAAACUGGGGCUAAUACCGGAUAGGAGCUCCUGCUGCAUGGUGGGGGUUGGAAAGUUUCGGCGGUUGGGGAUGGACUCGCGGCUUAUCAGCUUGUUGGUGGGGUAGUGGCUUACCGAGGCUUUGACGGGUAGCCGGCCUGAGAGGGUGACCGGCCACAUUGGGACUGAGGUACGGCCCAGACUCCUACGGGAGGCAGCAGUGGGGAAUAUUGCACAAUGGGCGGAAGCCUGAUGCGGCAACGCCGCGUGCGGGAUGACGGCCUUCGGGUUGUAAACCGAUUUCGCCUGUGACGAAGCGUGAGUGACGGUAAUGGGUAAAGAAGCACCGGCUAACUACGUG
rnacentral:rRNA from 1 species